rnacentral:misc_RNA from 1 species
GAAAUGACUAUUAUAUUCUGGUAAAUCAAGAAAAAGAGGCUAUUAAAAAAUUAAAGGUAUUUAAAUAUUUUAAAAUAAAUAAUACCCAUCUCUUUCUAUUUUUUACUAAUUUGAAGAGAUAUUUUGAGUUAAAUUGAAUGAGUAAUUUCUCCUCCUUUUUCUUUUCUCCCCUCCAUUUGAUGUCUAAACAAAGAGAAGAAUUCAUGGACUUUUCUCUUCUGUUCAUUUCAUUCAAUCCAAACAAAAGAAAAUCAGUUCUUAUAGCCUGAGCAAUGAAGACGUCUUGGAUGGGAGAGGUUAGCAUCCACACAGAAGAGUUAUAGCUGCAAAUGUCAUACCCAUCACCAACUUCUGUAACAUCAUAAGAUGGACAGUCUUUUCGCCUACAUGUUGAUGGGUAUAUCCUUACACUGCUGCUCCUACUGGGUUCAUGCCAUUGGCCAAAGUUUGCACUCCACUUAAGGCUCAAAACCAGUGAUUGCUUGCUGAUGAGCACGUGCAGACUAAAGCCAGCCAUAGUAGCUCAAGUGC